CCUCUGGGAGCCUCGUCUCAAUUAACACCCAGCUGUUUUCCUCAGCAGAGCAGGGAUCAAGGCCUCUGUGGCCUCUUCUGCUACAACAGUCUGAAGAGUCAAGCCUCACACCGAGGAGCUGCAGCCUUUUUCACACUUCAGAGCCAAGGCUGCUGUGGCUCUGCAGUGCAGUGGUGUCAAGUGUGAAAGGAAAGAAUGACGGGUCGGAGAUUUUACCCGGAUUCCCCGCAGAUCAACCUCUGAACCGUCAACAGAGGAAGGAACCAAGUCAAACUGGUACCAACAGAGUAUCUGCAGACCUCAGGAGAUAGUUUGCUGCAGUGAAUCAGAGCCAAACUGUGAUUGAAGCAGAACAAUCCAAGGAGCUGAGACAGAUGGGACGGCCUGGCGCGGCGCCACGGCGGGCCUCGGAGGUGAGACGCAGCACGCCUGCUGCAGGCGCCCAGGAGGGCCUGACCUAAUUGACUGGCGAAAUACAAAUGUAAACCUGCAUGCCAACAUUUAAAGCUUUUUCAUCUCGCAGACAAAAGAGAGCUGCAACGGAUCUUUACCCUUUAAACUUUCACAUUUUGUUUCGUUCCAACUGCAGACAAAAGUGUGAUUUGCUAGGAUUUUAUGUAACAGAGCAACAGAAAGUCACCCGUGUUUUUAAACAAGUUUCUACAAGUAAUAUUCUGAGCUUAGCAGUGAGGCAACACGCAGCAGGCGACUGCGACCCAAAUCCGAUAUUUUCUUUGCACGUAUCCCGACUUUUUGAGGAAGUUUUCUCCCCAAAACAAAAUCAGGGCGUUUUGUCUGUGGAACUAAAUCAGAUACGUAUCUGAUAGUUUUCAAAGCAUCUGAAGGCUGAACGGUCAUGUCGCGUUUUAUCCGACUGUGGCGUUAAUGCUGCUCCAGAAGAAGCCGAACGCGGUAAAUCUAGACAUGAUCGAUGGCUGACGCGAGCUUCCCUUCGUCUUAUGAUGAUCUGGUGAUGACUCUGUCGGCUCCUGUGGAGCAACGACUUUACAACUCAUCCACAGACAGCGGCGGCCAUUUUUACUUCCAUGAACAUAGAGCUGCAGUGUGACAUCUACGUGGUUAUUCUGCAUGUGAGGGUCGUUCUGGGGCCAUAAGGCCUGAAGUCUGACUGCAGUCACAACACAAUCACACAGAUGUCUGAAUGGCCCAAUUCUGAAACCUAAAAUAAAUCUGAUCUGUGUCACUUCCUUAACGACCACGCAAAGAAAAAAGUACUUCAGAAAAAAAAUCUGAUUUUUUUCUCCCAUAGUUGAUUCUUUCAUGGUAGUUUGAACGGCCAAAAAUUUUUUUUUAAGUUUUUAACCAAAAAAUAAAAAUCAGAUCUGGAUUUAUUACUGUUGGCUCUCACUGCUGAAUAAACUCUAAAAUCGAUCCAUAAUGGCGGCGUCCAUUACCUGUAAACAUCGCGCUGCUGUGACGUCGCCGUGAACAGAAAUCUGACUGUAGCUGCAUUUAGUUAGAAAUACCAACAACAACGUAAAAAAUUAUCACAAUUCA